GCGCCCGUAGCUCAGCUGGAUAGAGCGCUGCCCUCCGGAGGCAGAGGUCAGAGGUUCGAAUCCUCUCGGGCGCGCCA
rnacentral:tRNA from 47 species